GGGCCCGCACAAGCGGAGGAACAUGUGGUUUAAUUCGAUGAUACGCGAGGAACCUUACCCGGGCUUGAAUUGCAGGAGAACGAUCCAGAGAUGGUGAGGUCCUUCGGGACUCCUGUGAAGGUGCUGCAUGGUUGUCGUCAGCUCGUGCCGUGAGGUGUCGGCUUAAGUGCCAUAACGAGCGCAACCCCUUUCUUCAGUUGCCAUCAGGUGAUGCUGGGCACUCUGUGGAUACUGCCGCCGUAAGGUGUGAGGAAGGUGGGGAUGACGUCAAAUCAGCACGGCCCUUACGUCCGGGGCUACACACGUGUUACAAUGGGGUGUACAGCGAGUCGGCCGCGCGCAAGUGCGGUCCAAUCCUUAAAACGCCUCUCAGUUCGGACUGGGGUCUGCAACCCGACCCCACGAAGCUGGAUUCGCUAGUAAUCGCGCAUCAGCCAUGGCGCGGUGAAUACGUUCCCGGGCCUU
rnacentral:rRNA from 1 species